rnacentral:rRNA from 1 species
AUUGGACGCUGGCGGCAGGCCUAACACAUGCAAGUCGAGCGGAUGAAGGGAGCUUGCUCCUCGAUUCAGCGGCGGACGGGUGAGUAAUGCCUAGGAAUCUGCCUGGUAGUGGGGGAUAACGUCCGGAAACGGGCGCUAAUACCGCAUACGUCCUGAGGGAGAAAGUGGGGGAUCUUCGGACCUCACGCUAUCAGAUGAGCCUAGGUCGGAUUAGCUAGUUGGUGGGGUAAAGGCCUACCAAGGCGACGAUCCGUAACUGGUCUGAGAGGAUGAUCAGUCACACUGGAACUGAGACACGGUCCAGACUCCUACGGGAGGCAGCAGUGGGGAAUAUUGGACAAUGGGCGAAAGCCUGAUCCAGCCAUGCCGCGUGUGUGAAGAAGGUCUUCGGAUUGUAAAGCACUUUAAGUUGGGAGGAAGGGCAGUAAGUUAAUACCUUGCUGUUUUGACGUUACCAACAGAAUAAGCACCGGCUAACUUCGUG